CGUAUCUUGUAUAAAAGCGCACUGUUCCUUCAUGUUUUGUUAUCAGACCGAUUACUGGAAGCCCAGCACAGGAUCUCAAGAGCAUCAUGCGCCACUUUGGGUUUCUCGUCCUUCUUGGGCUUUUCAUCGGCACACAGGCGGUCAACCUUACGGACCUGCUUGAAGCAUUGAACACUACUGAGACGACUUGGCUAAAGAGGCGGACUUAUAAUAUGUCGGACCAUACCUGUGUCUACACC
rnacentral:lncRNA from 1 species